GACGAACGCUGGCGGCGUGCUUAACACAUGCAAGUCGAACGGAAAGGCCCUGCUUUUGUGGGGUGCUCGAGUGGCGAACGGGUGAGUAACACGUGAGUAACCUGCCCUUGACUUUGGGAUAACUUCAGGAAACUGGGUCUAAUACCUGAUAGUAGCUCCUGCUGCAUGGUUGGGGUUGGAAAGUUUCUGCGGUUGGGGAUGGACUCGCGGCUUAUCAGCUUGUUGGUGGGGUAGUGGCUUACCAAGGCUUUGACGGGUAGCCGGCCUGAGAGGGUGACCGGCCACAUUGGGACUGAGAUACGGCCCAGACUCCUACGGGAGGCAGCAGUGGGGAAUAUUGCACAAUGGGCGGAAGCCUGAUGCAGCAACGCCGCGUGCGGGAUGACGGCCUUCGGGUUGUAAACCGCUUUCGCCUGUGACGAAGCGUGAGUGACGGUAAUGGGUAAAGAAGCACCGGCUAACUACGUG
rnacentral:rRNA from 1 species